rnacentral:lncRNA from 1 species
AGAACAAUAAGUAAGCUACAUUUUCAUGUUCCUUUCAAGACCCUACGCUUUUAUUUGACGGUUUUAGAUUGGACAUCGAUGCAUUUACAACCGCUCAUGAUUGUGAUCUUCACGAGGUAAUGAUCAUUGUAGCCUUCUCCAUUGUCUGCUUCGUAAGAUUCCAAGGCUGAAGCCACAUCAGCUGCUGCUCUUUUCUCAACCUCAUUGCUUUUUGUUCCUGCAGUUCCACCUUUCUGAGCAGGAACUCUCUCUCUCUCUCUGCAACACACAAUGCUCCAUAGAUCACAUAAACAACCAAGAACUUGUAUAAGGUUCAGUUUAAUCCAAAAUUUACUUGCAUAAUCUUAAAACAAUGGCCAAUUUUGAGAAAAAAAGAUAGAAAUUGAAAAUAAUAGGGAGCUGGGUAACAUUAAAAACUACCUACAUUCAAAAUCAAAUAGGCAUGACUGGAGUAUUAUACACCUAUGAGAAAGAAGUUGCAAGUAGAAUCCAUUGAUCAAAUCAGAUAGUAUUAAAAAGUUUUAGAUUAUUAGAUAGAGGGUAAGAAACAAAAUCAGAACUUUUGAUGGGAUAUAUUUAAGGAGUCAGACCUGCAUGGAAUAGCUAUGGAUCCAAGCAUUGUGCCAGGCUAUUGAUAUAUAGACCUAAAGAUCGACCUAUCUACCAAAACCAAUCAAUACAAAUUCAAAACCUAAACCACAGAGCACAACCAACCAAAAAAUCUAAUUAAGAUUAUAGCAAGAACGCACUUGGAUUGGAUGGUGAGGUGAGCUUUGUGAUGGGCAAGACAAAGAGAGCAAAGCUCACCGUUGGUGCAGUCUAAGUAAUACAUAUUGCAAUCACCCUUGUGAGAGUCUACAUGAAACUUGCAGUGAACAAAUAACUGCUCUUUAAGCAGAGGUUUCACCCAUGGCGGGCAUCAAUUAUCUUCCUCCUCUGGUCCACCAGCUCCCUGCACCAAAACCAAUACAGAUUUGAUUAUCUGUUCCAGAACAUAAACAUUUGGUAUACGAUUAUAUAUAUACUCCAAGAGAACAUUUAAACAUAUCUCUUAAACCACAACUGAACUUCAAAAAUUUCACCUUUUAUACUUCAAUUUCAAAAAGUUAUCAUUUUAGGAAUCAUAUUAAAACCCAUUAAUGUUUUAGAUUCUUGCUCACUAUUUAUAUGGAAUUAUGUGGGUUAAAAGUUUAAGAUCUUAUACAAUAAAAGAGACUUUUGUCUCUCCUUCUUGUGCCACAUCAUCAGGAAGGAGAGGGCAAAACAUGACAUGUGGCAUCUCCUAUGUUUCUCUACAUCGACGUCUCUCAAUUUUGACGAGAGAACUGGGUUUCUUUUUCCGUAGGCCCAUUAAAGUAGAAAAACUCAUUUUCCAGAAGCGCUUUGCCUCCAUCGUCUUCUUGAUUUACCCUACCAUCACCUUUUUGAAACCGUCGAAAUCACUCCUAUCUUCCACUCCACCACCUUUUUGAAACUGUUAAUUAAUCAUUGCAAUAGAUGAUAUCUUCAUCCGUCUAGCUUCCAUGUGUUCCCCACCAAUUCCGACGACUAUGGCCUGUUCGUUUGCUCACCCAGAUGAUCCAUCUGGGUUAAGAUGCAAAUCGAUGUUCGUUUUGUGCAUUAUAAUGCUACAUCCAGAUGGAUCACCCAGCUGAAUUUUUAAAAACUCAUCUCAAAUUCUCACCCAAAUGAAGGUGACUCUUGAUGGUGCAUCUGGAUGCAGAUGCAUCUAGUUCAGUCCAAAAUAAUAAAUGACAAAAAUGACCUUUUAAAAUCAAAAUUUUAUUUUCAAACCCUAAAUUCUAUUUUUUUGCAUAUACAUUUUUCUGCUAUAACCAAAAAAUGCAUUUUCUCGCAAAAACUAAAAAACACACUUUCCCGCCAAAACCGCAAGAUGCGUUUUUCCGCAAAAAAACGUAAAACACACAUUUCCAUAAAAACACAUUUUUUGGCCAAACCAGUAAAACCGCACUUUUCGACCAAAACCGAAAAAUCGCAUUUUCCCGUCAAAACAAAAAAACGCAUUUUCCCACCAAAACCUCAAAAACGCAUUUUCCCGCCAAAACCCAAAAAACACAUUUUCCCGCCAAACUCCAAAAAGCAUUUUCCGGCCAAAACCGCAAAAAGCAUUUUCUCGCCAAAACCGGAAAAACGCAAUUUUCUCGCCAAAACCGGAAAAACGCAAUUUUCCCGCCAAAACCGGAAAAAUGAUAUGCGAUGUCUGUUUUUAAGUUGCCCAAAGACCUUUGUGAGAGACUCACCAGCGCUAUGGUGGAGUACUGGUGGAGUAGUGGAUCUAACCGGAAGAAUAUCCCAUGGGUGGCCUGGCAAAAGCUCUGCAAAUGCAAAGAAGAAGGGGGUCUCGGUUUUCAUGAUAUUAGCAGGUUUAACCAAUCUUUAUUGGCUAAGCAAGCGUGGCGCAUUUUUAUGAAUCCGGAAUCUCUUGUCUCUAAAGUUCUAAAGAGCAAAUAUUGGAAGAAUAGUUCCUUCAUGGAAUGUGGGCUUGGUUCAAGACCGUCUUUUGCGUGGAGGAGUAUUCUCCAUGGCCGGGAGUUGCUGGAGAAGGGUUUGCUCAAAAGAGUUGGUGAUGGUGCAUCUACAAAAGCCUGGACAGAACAUUGGAUCAUGGGGCCUUUUCCGCGCCCCCCUAUGUACCGUAUGGAUGCUCAAGUUGAUCUCACACUUACGGUCUCUGAUCUUCUGAUCCCUCAUACAAAUUAUUGGGAUGUAACAAAGGUGCGAAGUCUAUUUGUUGCUGGGGAUGCAAAUACUAUACUUAAUAUGCAUGUGGAAAGACAUCAGACGGCUGCUCUAGUGUGGGGCUUUACUCCUCGUGGUCAUUAGUCCUCUCGGUCUGGAUAUAAGUUACUGGAAAACAUUGCGAACUUUAAUGAUGCUCAGCACCGGACUCUCCCUCCAAUCGAGAAGAUGCUGUGGCGGAGUAUUUGGAAGCUUCAGACCUCUCCUAAGAUACGCCACUUUGUUUGGAGAACGUUGGCUGGUGCUUUGGCUGUAUCUGAUCGCUUGAGAUCGAGGGGAAUCCAAGUAGAUACUACAUGUAAGAACUGUGGAAUGGGACCGGAAACAAUUUGUCAUGCCCUUUUCACUUGCCCGGCUGCACAAGACGUAUGGAGAGCAGCGAGACUGCCUAUGCCUCCUUUGGGUCUGUCUAUGAAUUCUGUGUUUCUUAACUUACAUCACCUGGUUGCUUGCACUAAAAGCAAAGACGUUUCGACCAAACUCAAACAGAGUAUUCCCUGGAUCUUAUGGCAUAUAUGGAAAGCCAGAAAUGGAUUGAUUUUUGACAAGACUCAUUUAUCUCCUGUUUCAAUCUUGUGUAAAGCUGAGGAAGAAGCAGAGGAGUGGUUCGUGGCUAACUUUCCGGAUCAGAUGAGGUCGCAGGAUCUGGUCCUUGAUCAACCGCAGGUUUCAACUUGGCAAGCUCCUCCCCCAGGUAUGAUUAAAUGUAAUAUUGGGGUAUCAUGGGUGAAUGGGGUGGUCAAUUGUGGCGCUUCAUGGAUUACUCGAGACUCAAGAGGGAGUGUGCUUAUGCAUAAUCGACGCUCCUACUCUAGGAUUCAAUCACUUGAAGAAGCUGAACUUUGGGCAAUUUUAUGGGCAGUUGAGAGUAUGAAAUCGUUGAGGCUUGACAACAUAAUUUUUGAGUCUUCCUUUGCUCACGCACGGCGCGUAUUAUAUAACGGGGAUGGUCAGGUAUGUGCUCCUAAAUCCUCUCGGGUGUCAUAUUCUAUCAGAUCUCAACUACAUCUUUUGAGGGGUUGGAGCCUCAACCACAUUCUCCCAGCAAGAAACUCUAUAGCCUUGAGAAUAGCGGAGAGUGUAACUUCUGAUCAUCGGUACCAAUCUUAUAUAGCACGGAAUGGUCCAUCUUGGCUUCAGCACGCGAUUGCAGGAGAAGCCUAGACCUUGGUCUUAGGAGCCACGUUCCUAGGGUCUAGAUUCUUAGUGGCUGCCUCCUUGUCUUAGCUUCAUCUUUUAAUCUUUCCAUAUGAGUGUUUCCUCCCUAUUGGGUUGGUUUUUUUUUGUUUCUGUUUGAUAAGUGUUGACCUUUGUCCACCAUGUUACAUUUGGCUGUAUCAGCCUUUGGAUUUGAAUGGUAUUCUUUCAGUGUUAAAAAAAAAUUUUUGCAUCGCUAUUCAUUUGACUGUGUCUAGUUAAUUGAAUCACAUUAAAUCUCAGUUGUAUUGAAUGGUGACAUUGUUUGUUUCUGUUUAUAGAAAAUCAAUGGGUAAUAAAGAUAAUAUGUAAUCAAAGCUGUUGCUUGUUUUUCAAGGCUCAACAGUUGUAUUGUUUGUUGUAUUGUUUUUUUUUUUCUGAAAAAGGGCUUUCAAAUUAAACUGCAAGAAAAUACAUGUAUGAAUUUUCAUUUAUGAGUUUGAUAAAGUUUGCAACAAAUAAAAUGGUUUAAAGAGACCCUAGAUAAAGAUUCACAUUUGAAUCCUAGAAAACAAGACAAAAAAAGACAUUAACUAGUGGUUGUAGUUCCCUCGGCCUCGACUACCUUGUUGUAUUGUUUGUUGUCCGUCUAGAUUGAACCUAUAAGAAAGUUACAAACUUACAAUAUACGUUCAUGUUAUAUUAAAGUCGUUGUAAUUCACAUCAAUUUGCUUUAACGUAUAUCCCAUAGUAUGGUUUGUGUGCGUCACAUUUUAUAUAUUCUUCCUAGUAAAUAUGAAUAUUAAAAUGCAUGUGAAACGUGUAGUUAAGUAGAGAGAGUCUUAUAAUUCUUAUCAGUCUUAUAGUUCUGUUAACGAUCAUUUUCUUCUGCUGAGCAAUGGUGCCUUGAAAACAAAAAGUACAUAAGAACAAUAAGUAAGCUACAUUUUCAUGUUCCUUUCAAGACCCUACGCUUUUAUUUGACGGUUUUAGAUUGGACAUCGAUGCAUUUACAACCGCUCAUGAUUGUGAUCUUCACGAGGUAAUGAUCAUUGUAGCCUUCUCCAUUGUCUGCUUCGUAAGAUUCCAAGGCUGAAGCCACAUCAGCUGCUGCUCUUUUCUCAACCUCAUUGCUUUUUGUUCCUGCAGUUCCACCUUUC